UAAAACAAUACAAUUGAACAGAUGUUGAUAGUUCUUUGUUUUCAAGCACUGCGGUAAUGUUUUAGUAAGGAAAAGGCAACAAUGAAUAAUAUAAAAAACACUAUAUUUCAAGAAAACUUGAGGCUUUUAUGAUAUCACCUUUAUUAUUCGAGUGAGAUGAUUGUACAUGAUGCUAUCAUAGUAAUCUCACUGUGCUGUGUGAAAUCGACUACAACGGCUGCGAUUCAGCCGGUGACCUGAAGCUCGCUCUCCGAGACUUGGCACAAGUCAGACUCCUAGCUAGCGACGGCCUGAAUCGUGACUCUGCCUUUCCUGAGCGGGGAGCUCCCUCUGUUGUUUCGCGGAGAACUUGUUACUGCUGGAGGAAGUCUGUAGCCUCAAGCACUGAGAGCGAAUACACUCGGGUUACCCCGCUUUACGCUUUUUCUGAAGUCCUGAUUAACCAACCAUUGAAUUUCAACGGUGACCGCAAACGGUGCCCUGCGUGCGCUCAUCAGAAAGCAACCGAGACUAUAAAAAAAACAAAGGUGCCUCCGAUUUGGCGUGUUGCUGUAUCACAGAGCAUUCCUUUUAUCAGGCUGGAUUCUGAAUUGCUCAACUGAAACAGACGAUAUCCGUUAAGUAUUCAAAAGCAACCGUAAGAGCAAUGAAACACAGACUCGCUCAAAGUCAACAGAGGGCAAGAUGUCAAAAAGAUUUUCUGUUGAUUAUCGACCCGACUCUAAGGAGCAUGGAGUAAACCCUGACUUGUUCCUUUGCAAUCAUCAUUUAUGUCAGGGGAGUGAAGUAAAGCACCAAUACCUGCCUAAUUGUGUUUCACUGCGGCUCUGCUAAUUCGUACAUAUUUGUCAACUACAGCAUUAAACUAAUGUACACUAAGGGGUGUUUUUAUUACUCUUGUUAAUCAUUUUGGACUAAACAAUCUUGUUUCUUUUGUUAUUGAACACUUUCCUUGUGAAAACUGUAAGGUAUGGAAAAAGUCAAAGGGAAGUAAAUUAUUAAUAGUAACUAAGUUUCUGUUAAACUGUAAAUGUAUCUUCACUAUCUCCCCAAGGGCGAAGCAAUUGAUUAAUAAAAAAGCUCAUGAAAUCUU